GUCCACAGUUUUAAAGGCUGAAAGCCCACACAGCAUGGCGCUGGCUCUGGUGAGGGCCCCGACUGUGACUUCACAGCAGGUGACAUAGUGGCAGGUGGUUGCAGGGUGUGCCAAGGGGUGAGAUCACAUUGCAGGGCAGAUGCCAGAGCGAGGGGAGACACCAGCCUUACUCUUUGGUAACAACGCUCUGGAAAGAGCUAAGCCAGGGGUCCCACAGGAACCAUAUGAGUCCCUGCCAAAGGCAGCGUCCAAUGACCUCAUGACCUCUGCCUAAACCCUGUUAGGGCCCCGCCGUCUCCAGCACGGCCCCAGUGCCAGCCGAGCCUCCAAACGUAUGACAACCACAGUGCCAGGAAGGCUGUGCACGAGCACUUCUAUCUCACUUCGGUGCUGAUUGCCUCACAAUCCCGCUGAGGUCACCUCUGCACUAGGACAGCCCCUCCCUGCUGCCUCCGCCUUGCCCAGAGGGUGCAUCUGUCACCGGAGUCUGUCCUCUGCCAUGCCUGCCUCUGUGCUCCUUGGCUGCCAGAACCACCACUCCAGCCACCUGCCAAGGCCACCGCUUGCUGCGACUGUGGUACUGCCUGCCGGACCGACUGUCCAGGAGCCGAGGCUUUCUCACCUCUUUGAUUCUCCACAAGACAUCAACAUUAUUCCAUCCCAUCUGCACAUGUGUAUGUGCUGUACAUGUGUACUGGCUUUUUGUAAAAAGCUCUUUGCAACAUCCUGUGUCCAAACAGCCGCCAAGGUAUAUAAUUAGACAUUCAAUAAAGGCCACAAACACUUCUCAAGGAAGAUCAUUAAAAGAAAAAUCCCCUCUUCCUCUCAUGUCAUACAGCUGGCUUCCAAGGCUCGCCAGCUAAGAAAACAGGUAUCACCCGUGGUGACAGAAGACUAGACUUUUCCCUCUUUGGGCAGUAGCUGAAUUUCUGCUGGCAGUCUGGUGAAAUAUGUAACUCCUCGCUUGUCCUAAGCAAGUCUUUCCUUCAAACAAUACCUUUACUCUCCCAUUUGGAUACGAAGACUUGGGAAUUUCGAGCAGCAAAGUUUGUGGUAGGAAUCAUUCACUUCACAUCAUAUUUUGGCUACACAGACAGAAGGAAGACAUGUGGGAGACUGGCAGGGAAGGAAGGUGAGAGAAAAAUUACUGGGAGCUGGAAGAGAACAAGCCUUUCAAAGCAGUUACCGGUAAGAAGCCGGGCGUGGUGGCGCAUGCCUUUAACCCCAGCACUCGAGAGGCUGAGACAAGAGGCUCGCGGUGAGUUCGAGACCAGCCUGGGCUGCAUAGUGAGUUCCAGGUCAGUCUCAACUACAUAGUGAGACCCUGUCUCAAAAAACCCAAAGUGGUUACCGGUAGGUGGUAUCUCACGGAGGCCCAGGCUGCUACCAUGGUGAAGGCGAAAGAACACUGGUAGCAGCCACCAUCGCUAUGGGAACACCACUCGGUUCUGCCUCACCUCGACAGGCCCGUUCUGCACCUGUAACGUGUGUUGCGCCUCAGGGACACAGCAUAACCUGCAUUCUGGAAGAGCUUUACAGCAUCCUGGUAUAGCAGGUCCUUUAAGUCUUUGCCAUUUACCGAGAGGAUCUGGUGGCCCUCCCGGAGCCACCCAUCCUGGGCCGCAGCCCCAUCUUUCUCUUCGACGCUGCUGACGUAGAUGCCACUGUCGUCGGAGACACUGCUGAUCGGUUGAAGUCAGAUUGAUCGCUUCUUCGGUGAUCAAAUAAUCCACUCUUCCGUUCAUGUUUUACUGCUCGCCUGGCUUCUUCGGGUGGCCCAGGUCUCUGCCCAGGUGAAGGUGAGUCAACCCCAGAGCCACAACCUAAUAAUCACAGCCCUUUCAGCUUCUGCAGUCUGUGGACCGUGGACCGGAAAAGGAAGCCGCGGGCGAAGAGGGUGACAAAGGCUGUUUUUAACAUAAACUUACAUUUGGUUGCAUAGCCUCCGUACCAGCCUGUGAGCAUCUGAGGACAAAGAGGGACAAGACAUAGUAUGAACUACUUCCUGUUCCUAGAAGCACCCCAUGCUCCUGGGAACCACCCCAAAUAACCACUUAAUGAUUUGUUGAAUAAAUAAUUCAAAAAAAUUAAUGACAGAAGGCCAGA
ensembl:lincRNA